rnacentral:rRNA from 1 species
CGGUAAUUCCAGCUCCAAUAGCGUAUAUUAAAAUUGCUGCGGUUAAAACGCUCGUAGUUGGAUUUCUGCUAAGGAGUUCCGGUCCUUCCUAGUGAAGAAUACGCGGGGCUCUCCUUAGCCUUUUUUUCAGGGAAGGUUUAUGCACUUUGUUGUGUGUCACACGAUCUGGAUUUUUACUUUGAGGAAAUGAGAGUGUUUCAAGCAGGCAUUUGCCGUGAAUAUGAUAGCAUGGAAUAAUAGCACAGGACCACUUUCCAAAGCUGUUGGUUUUUGGAACGAGGCAAUCAGAAUAAGGAUAGUUGGGGGUAUUCGUAUUUAACUGUCAGAGGUGAAAUUCUUGGAUUUUUUAACGACGAACUAUUGCGAAGGCAUCUGCCCAGGAUGUUUUUGUUGAUCAAGAACGAAAGUUAGGGGAUCGAAGACGAUCAGAUACCGUCCUAGUCUUAACCUUAAACUAUGCCGGCUGGAGAUUGGAAUUGUCAGUAUUGUGAUAUUUUCAGCAUCCUGAGAGAAAUCGAAGUCUUUGGGUUCCGGGGGGAGUAUGGUCGCAAGGCUGAAACUUAAAGGAAUUGACGGAAGGGCACCACCAGGAGUGGAGCCUGCGGCUUAAUUUGACUCAACACAGGAAAACUCACCAGGUCCAGACAUAGAUAGGAUUGACAGACUGAUAGCUCUUUCUUAAUUCUAUGGGUGGUGGUGCAUGGCCGUUCUUAGUUGGUGGAGUGAUUUGUCUAGUUAAUUCCGUUAACGAACGAGACCUUAGCCUGCUAAAUAGUGUCUAGAACAUUAGUUCUAGGGUUACUUCUUAGAGGGACUUCGUGUGUUUAACACGAGGAAGUUUGAGGCAAUAACAGGUCUGUGAUGCCCUUAGAUGUUCUGGGCUGCACGCGCGCUACACUGAUGUGUUCAAUAAGCACCUAACCUACUUCGAAGGGACCGGGUAACCUCUGUAAAGCACAUCGUGAUGGGGAUAGAUUAUUGCAAUUAUUAGUCUUGAACGAGGAAUUCCUAGUAAGCGCGAGUCAUCAGCUCGCGUUGAUUACGUCCCUGCCCCUUGUACACACCGCCC